rnacentral:rRNA from 1 species
AGAAUCUUGCGCAAUGGGCGAAAGCCUGACGCAGCAACGCCGCGUGGGGGACGAAGGUCCUAGGAUUGUAAACCCCUUUUGCGAGGGAAGAAGUUCUGACGGUACCUCGCGAAUAAGACACGGCCAACUACGUGCCAGCAGACGCGGUAAUACGUAUGUGGCAAGCGUUGUCCGGAUUUACUGGGCGUAAAGCGCCCGCAGGCGGCUCGGCAAGUUUCGGGUGAAAUCUCCUGGCUCAACUGGGAGGGGUCUCGAAAAACUACCGGGCUUGAGGCAGGGAGAGGGAAGCAGAAUUCCAGGUGUAGCGGUGAAAUGCGUAGAUAUCUGGAGGAAUACCAGUGGCGAAGGCGGCUUCCUGGCCCUGUCCUGACGCUCAGGGGCGAAAGCGUGGGUAGCAAAC